GAAGAAAAAGCAUAAAGCGGAGACUGAUUGAUUGGUGACACACAACACACCUGCUCAUCUUCACGCAGGUGUUUUUCAGUCAGCUGAUGACCGCUGAUUGCUUCCUCCUCCUCUUCUUAUUUAAUCUUCAUCCAGCCAACAGUCCCGUGAUGCUACUUUGAAGAGAAACUGCACGAGCCGUGAAACGAAAAAAAAAAAGACGCGAAAAAAGUGUUGCUUAACUACUGAAACUGUUCCGGGAGGAGGGAACUUGUGGCGGUAAUGCACCAACCGCCAUAAAACCUCAAAAAAGGAGGAAACUUUUAAAAAAGAAGAGAAAUAAAAAAGGAAAAACUACCGCGGCGUGACGUCAGACGCCGAAAAGGUGGCCUCGUGCAUCAGCUCCUGUAUAAAAACGCAGCACGGCGCUCCAGGAUGGCGUGUUCGGCCUGGUCCAGAUUGGUGGCCCGUCCAGAAUGGAACAACCUGCUUCCUGCUCACGGAGACCUGGUCGGACCCGCCAUAUACAAAAGCCUGAGGCUGUCAAAAAAAGAUUGAUCUUCAUGAAGAUCGUCAAAUUGUAGGUGUCAUGCUUUAAUUCUGGGUGGCCGCCGUGUCCCCACUCUUUCUUGGCCGCUGUGCCUACAUCUCUCUGCAUUGUCCAACAUGGCCACAUUUCUAUUCUCCUGCCUUUUUUUUUUUCUCUCUCUCUCUUUUCCAUCGUGGCCAUUAAUCUAACGUUAGCCCUAGAACGUUAAAGUAGAUCCUGGUGAUCUACAUAGUACCUGGCUUUGGAUGGCAGUCCUGCCAUUGCCUUUGUAUUGCCAUACGUCCCUUAAUGCAAGUAGGUCAUCAUCGCUAACUGUGCCCGCGCCUUCAUGGCCUACUUGUGUCAUUGUACGUCUGGCCUUGCGCGUAUAGUCAUUUUACAUAGGCAAACAUGGGUGCCUUCCGCGUCCAUGCACAGUAAGUGAACUAACCUGUACUUUUCUUCUAGCAUCAGUCAAGAGGAGCACCGACAUCACUGCAUGUCCAUCCUAAUUAGAUUGCGUUUUAGUUUAAUUUCAAAUAUUAAGUGCAGUUUUUCUUUGUUGCUUGGCCGCUGUGCCAUUACUAUACCUGCUCUGACCUGAAUCUUGAUUCUUCAUGGCCACUGUGUCAUGACUGUACUUGGUCUUGGUGUUUAUGCCAGUCUAUAAUUUCAGAUCUGUUUUUCCUACUAAGUGUGUGUGUGUGUGUGUGUGUGAGAGUGAGUGAGAUGACUGAUUUGGAGUGAGUGUGUGUGUGUGUGAUGACUGAUUUUGUGUGUGUGUGUGUGAUGACUGACUUGGUGUGUGAGUGUGUGUGUGAUGACUGACUUGGAGUGUGUGUGUGUGAUGACUGACUUGGAGUGUGUGAGUGUGUGUGUGAUGACUGACUUGGAGUGUGUGAGUGUGUGUGUGAUGACUGACUUGGAGUGUGUGAGUGUGUGUGAUGACUGACUUGGAGUGUGUGUGUGUGUGUGUGUGACUGACUUGGAGUGUGUGUGUGAUUGACUUGGAGUGUGUGUGUGAUGACUGACUUGGAGUGUGUGUGUGUGUGUGUGAUGACUGACUUGGAGUGUGUGUGUGUGUGUGUGUGUGUGUGUGUGUGUGUGUGUGAUAUGACUGACUUGGAGUGUGUGAGUGUGAUGACUGACUUGGACUGACGUUUAUCUGACCUUUGGACCAAGACUAACACUCCAAUUGACUUUACUGCACCAGAAAGGUGAACAAAAUUUAUGCUGCAAGACUGGCAAGAUGCACACUAAUUAAACAACAAGCAAAUUCAAAUUCUUUCAAAAACAGGUCAAAUUUUUACAUUUCAGGUAAGUAUUAAAGGCCUUUGCCACAUGAUCUUUGUGGGUAAAUCGUGUCCACUUAAUUUAUAAAUUAAUUUGCAUCUAAACAUUUACAAUGCCUGACACAAUGGCAUUACAAUAGUCUAAUUUUUUUGUUUUGCGUUACUGAGUGCAAAGGCCUUUAUUUACACACUGACACAUGCCAAGACUGCUGUUAUGGCAUGUGUCACUGUAUCUUUCUCGCUGGUCUGUCCUGUGUGUCUUUCUGUUUGGUCUCUGUCUCGUGUGUCUGGUAUCCGUCUGUCUGUCCUGUGUGUCGGAUUUAGUCCCUUUUUUAGUCUCAACUUAAAUGGAUGAUUUUAAAGUUGAGUGGUCUUGAGGUGUCUAAUUUCUGCAGGAAAUUCUGGUACCUUAUUUUGAAAUGGCUUUAAUUUAAAAAUUUAAUUUUGGUCUUCAAUCUCAGAUAUCAUAGUUGCAACUUGGACUGUUGACAAACACAAAAGCUGAUGAAUCAUUAGUAAAUGCAUCAAAGUUUACUGUAGCUUGUUUAAAGUUCUUUCAAAGUGCUUUAAAAAUGUAGUAAUUGAUUAUGAUGAGCUAGACCAGGUCUUCCUUUAUUCUCAACUGGUAAUUGCUUUGAUAAGAUAGCUGUUUCCUGAUUUGAUUAUGAAACUUAACUUUUGAUUUUUAUGCAAGUGUAGUCACAUUAGAUUGGAGGUGUUAUUCAGCCCAUGGAUAAUGUUAUGAUAUACUUUAAAUCUGGCAUUUGUUGGCACAUUUUGAUAUCCAUUUAAGUCUUAAACUUUACGCACUGCCAUCAGCCUUUGUAGUCGCUAACUGAAAUCACAUUCAAUAUUAAUGCUGACUUGUCUCACUCUGCCAAGUUUAUUUCCCUCUAAAGGAGUUGAACCUUUUUGUGUUCAUAGUCUUUUUGCGCGUCAUGUUGGGAGGCCUCCCAGCAGGGGAUUUUUAUCUUCCCCUGCAAAACUAUGCGUUACUCGCCUUAGGGAUGCAGGGCUAUCCUGCAUAGUUUCUAUAUAAAUGAGAUUAUAGGUUGCAGGAUUAGAGCGUGUUUCUUUUCUUUAGGAGGACACAAACCAGGCAGAGAGAGACAACUCGGAUUAUUUAAGUGAAAGUUGCGCCAAAAGUUUGAACUUUUUAUCUUUCGAUACGAUGACUUGAAAUAAAACCUUUAUUCUGUUGGCUGAAUUCAGACAGAAAUCAGACAGAAGUUGGCUUCAUGUUAAAGACUGUUGUGCAAGUACCCUCUUGUAGUAGGAGUGAGCAGCUGCAGCUUUUUAAUUAAUUUUUUGUUAUUUGAUUUGUUUCUUGGAUUGACUUGGUGUCUGGAGCUUUGUGGUUAACAGUGAUCAUGUAAACGUGUAAACACAAGUGGUCAUUUGCCUCUGAUUUGCAAAGCUGGCAGCUGGUUGAAAUGAUAGGACUUUAUGGCUUGCCCAAAGUGCGAUUUUUGAUAGAGCAUAGGGUUGACACCUCACCAUACACUAGCUAUUUUAGCGAACAAGUGUCCUCUUCUUGAUUUUUAUAGACUUGCCCUAAAGUUUCUCUCUGCUUUAACUCUUGUUGAGCUAUGCAUUAAAUGAUUCCUCCAACUUGUCUCCAUAUCAAUUUUUUUUCUCCCUGCAGCCUUCCACCACCCACUGCUGCUGUUGCAUCUGCUAAAGGUAGCCGUAUCCUGAUUCACUGCGUCUUCAUGUGUUGGGUAAGAAGUGUCAUUAGACUACUAACAAUGUAAACACCUUUUAAAUGCUUGAUCUAAUUUACCCAAAUGGUUCAUCAGUUUAGGACAGAAAAAACUUGAGUUUGACACUCUUGGGGUCAGUAACCUGACCUCUAAAUGUUCGGGAAACCAUGCAAAAGAUCGCAAGCUCUCUGCAUGACCGAACAGCAUCGAUGUUUGAGUUAUUUAAUUGCUCAAUUUUUAAAUCAGUCAAGAUUUUAUGAGCUGGGUCUUCUUCACACAACAGAGAACAAGGUAAAUUGAGUCGACUCGUAACAUGGCAAGGCAUUUUGUCUUUCCCCUUCUCUGUGUGUGUGAGGAAAUCUGGCCACAGAUCCUGACUGAGUGGCAUACCAUGGCUGUGCAGUUUCCAAAAUCAGACAAGGAUCCAUCUGAUUUUGUGACUCGGCUUGUCAUGAUAUGCAUGUAUGUUCCUCUGAAACAAAGGAUUUGAAUGGACAGGUUUGUAGUGUAAAUCACAUCACAUCACUUGUAGACGGUGAAGCAUUUGUUUAAAUUGGGGUCAAGCAUUUUCAGGUGUCUGCUUUGUCAAUACUCUGGUGCCAUGUCUUGCUAAACACACGAGAAGCUCUGAAUUGUGAAACUGCUGCCUCUUGCAGAUGUUACAACAGCAAUGGCUGUUGAAAGGCUUCAGGGAGAGAAAAUGAGAUCUGAGGACAGGAAAGUGGAAUUGAUUUCAUGCUUAGCAAAAUGAGGGUUUCAGCAGAGGACCUUUUUGUGGCGAGGCUACGGAAUCAGAAGGAACGUUUGUCUGGGCAACUGGGAGAUUUACAGUUUUUCAUGCAGCCAACGAAGACAUUGGGGUUAGCAUCAUCCCAAAUGGCUGGCAAAGAUUGCCUGUAAUUGUCAGUGUAGGACAGGAAAGGCAGGUAUAGGUUAGGGAGGGCAUCCAUCGGUGAGCUCUGACUGGAUGUGAGGACCUGUCACACUUGACCAGAGAUGAAGGCUGCAGCACAUUCCUGGAUCAGAGGACACCAUGUUGGACAUCACAACCUGGAGAAGUCCCGUCCUGGAUGGCUGCGGUGAUGACCUAGCCCAAGAUGAACCGAUGCUUCUACCACGAGGACUUCGCCCAAGAUGAACCGACGCUUCUACCACGAGGACUUAGCCCAAGAUUAACCGACCCUUCUACGACGAGGACUUCGCCCAAGAUGAACCGACCCUUCUACGACGAGGACUUCGCCCAAGAUGAACCGACCCUUCUGCGACGAGGACUUCGCCCAAGAUGAACCAACCUUUUCCACGGGAUGUCUUCAGAUGUUGGACCUUGCCAAACUGUACACAUGCCUCAAUGGCUGCUACGUCACUCUGCCCAACAGGACAUGGUCAUCGAGAUUUUUUUGGCAAAAAAAAUUUACCAGUGAUGCAUCACCACACUAAAAUACAGACACUGCUACUUUCAGCCUGUUUCAGUCUGUAAAAGAUCGCAAGCCCUCUGCAUGACCCAACAGCAUCGAUGUUUGAUUUAUGUAUUUGCUCAAUUUUUAAAUCAGUCAAGAUUUUAUGAGCUGGGUCUUCUUCACACAGCAGAGAACAAGGUAAAUUGAGUCGACUCGUAACAUGGCAAGGCAUUUCGUCCUUCCCCUUCUUCUCUGUGUGUGAGGAAAUCUGGCCACAGAUCCUGACUGAGUGACAUACCAUGGCUGUGCAGUUUCCAAAAUCAGACAAGGAUCCAUCUGAUUUUGUGACUCGGCUUGUCAUGAUAUGCAUGUAUUUUCCUCCUAAACAAAGGAUUUGAAUGGACAAGUUUGUAGUGUAAAUCACAUCACUUGUAGAUGGUGAUGGUGUACAGACACUACGACUUUCAGCCUGUAAUGUUAGACAUUGAAAACUUGUAUUUAUUGCCUUCCUUUAUAUCAAGUAAAACUUUUGUUCUUAA